CAGUCGCCGCGGUAAUACGUAGGUGGCAAGCGUUGUCCAGAAUUAUUGGGCGUAAAGGGCUCGCAGGCGGUUUCUUAAGUCUGAUGUGAAAGCCCCCGGCUCAACCGGGGAGGGUCAUUGGAAACUGGGAAACUUGAGUGCAGAAGAGGAGAGUGGAAUUCCACGUGUAGCGGUGAAAUGCGUAGAGAUGUGGAGGAACACCAGUGGCGAAGGCGACUCUCUGGCCUGUAACUGACGCUGAGGAGCGAAAGCGUGGGGAGCGAACAGGAUUAGAUACCCGUGUAGUCCCUGUCUCUUAUAC
rnacentral:rRNA from 1 species